AAGUUCAGCUUGGAGCAACAUGGGCUUUAUAAUGUUCCAUUCGCUUCCCGAACGCAAAUUCGCCCUUCGUUUCCCAUCUGUUCUUGACUGGCAGUUCAAUCACGGUUUUAUUGGGGUUUCGCGCGCGCGCUCUCUCUCAGUUGCGAAACUCGGUACAUCUAACAUCCGGUCGUUUGAUCGCUUUCUCUGACCCUCAUGGAGAAGAAGACUGUCUCUACGUUGAAGCGUGUAUUACUUAAUUGUGCUUCUCAGACGAAAGAAUAUGGGUUGUGCAUCUCAAGAAAAAGUUCCAGAGAUUGAGCGUGAUAUGUGUUUGAAUGAAUUCCUUAAACUAAAAGCAUGCAUGCAUGCAGAGCAUGUAUCAGAUCAGCAACAAGGUGUAGAAUUGACUCAGCAGCUAGAUAAGCUAUUUGGGUUCCCUCUUAAACUCUUGGACAUCCUUGGAGCUGGAAGAUUAAGUUAAAAUUACCUGUUUGAAGCUCAAGUGUAUUGAGCAGGUUCUGCGAAUAUUGUUUGCUUCAUAUAUCUGUAAAUGCGUACAAAGAGUUAUAUAGUGACAGGUUACCUGGCUAGAGGCUCUAAGCUCAAAUUAUACUAUGCCAGAAGAAGCUUCUGAUGAACAGUCUCAAGGGGGAAUUAGUGGUUUUGGUGCACUCUCUCAUGUUUACAUGCAAUACCCACCCCUUCGAUGCAAUGCUCCUGGAACACAACGACUGUAUUAUGACAAUGGGAAUAAGUUGCUUCUGGCUCCAUUAUCUGACCAUGUUUUGUCCUACAAAGUUGGUACAUCACAGUUGGAUCCUCACAGUUCUGAUUUUGUUGGUGGAGGACCUGUUUUAUUCAUCAGAUAUUCCCUUGAUGCAAAGUUAAUAGGGAUUCAUAGGUCUAAUCAUGAGAUACAAUUCAAGAAUAGAGAAUCCGGGCAGAUAUUUAGUCACAUAUGCAAAACUGACACUGAGAGAAUACUUGGAUUCUUUUGGACAGACUGCCCCUCCUGUGAUCUUAUCUUGAUUAAGACAAGGUUGUUUCACCAAAAAGCUCAUUACAAUGUAGCUACAAAUGCUGAUUUGCACAUUUUAUUCUAUAAUGUUUUAUUUUUAAAUAUCUUAUUAAAAUAUUUUGACAGCAUAAUAUUCAAUAAGGUAACACAUUAUAGUUUUAUGUGGUCAUGUGGCCAUUUAUACUACUCGGAGUCAAAAUAGAUCUGGCUAGUAAAUGCAGCUAGAAUUGUAAUUAUUUGUUGUUCUCUUUCAGUAACUAAAAUUGACUUACCUCCAUGCUGAAGUUACCUUGUGUCAUAGAAUACUAUCUGUUCAUGUUGUAUUAUUUGUAAAAAUACUUGUUUUAGUGGUCCAUUGUUCAGGACUCACUUGUAAAUAUACGAUAUAACCAUUCUUAUUUUUAAAUAUAUCAUUGAUAUAAUAUAUCAAAGUAGAAAAGGAUUAUCUAGGUUAAUGUUUUUUAUGUUUCUAUGUCACAUGGUGUUAGAGUCAUCUCAACUGUUGGAAUUCUCCUCUUCCACCUUAACCGUUUGUAGGUCAUCGCCGGAGAACCUACGAGUUUGAUUCCUGUGGUAGCAAAUCUUCCUCUGUAGCUUCUUCCUCCUUUUCCUUGUGCCUCCAUUGCUCAAUGUCUUGAGAUAGCAAAUUGUGGCCUAUCAAUGUUGCCUCACCGUCUACCACCACUCGAUUCUAUUGUUCUUGUCAUUACUGUUGGGCUUUGUUGCUUAGAAACUAAGUAGAAUUGAAAUUGAGUAUAUGCAAUGUAGUUUUAGUAAUAAUUAAUAAGAAAAAGAAUUAAGAGAAUAGUUUAGAUGUUUGAAGUUUGAACAUGAACUUCCUUGUAAUAAAAUUCUUAGAUAUUAUAAUCUAUUAUUCAACAACAAGAAGAUAUUGAUGAAGAUAUGUUACUAGAAUAAAAAUGUUGUUAAAAUGGGGAGGAGCUUCUGGAGUCUUGUGUCAUCAUUUAGUGUUGCAUUUGCUUAGGGUAAAAGAAAAAUUUUACAAGACUGGUACAAGCUUUUAUCUUUUAUGAAUUAGAAUGUUGGAUAAUUAGGACAUUAAGAAGAUAUAUAACAAGAUGAGAAUACAUGAAUGUGUGAGGUUAUUAUGAAAAUUAAAAUAAAAAAUACUACUACUUGAACCAAUGAUAUUUUUCUCGAAUUGUGAAUAAAUUGAGAGAAAAUAGAUUGAGGUGGCAUUAACUUUUUUAAAGGUGGCAUUAACUUUUUUAAAGGUGGUGACCAGUGGACUCUAUAAUUAAAUGAAUUGAAUCAUUAGAGUUGACGAUGCAGGAUGUAGAUGAAACCAAAAAAAGCAAGUUAAUACAUUGAAAAAUUGAUUAAAUGAUUUGGAUAUUACAAGUUGUAUAAUCUUGCACAAAGUUAAAUGUAGGAUAACAUCCAUGUAGCCGAAUGCAAAUAGUUAGGACCUACUUAGCUUCAUGAUGAUGAAAGUUGUAAUAGGAGUGUGUGAACAUAUUUUGUUCAAAAUUAGUACUGUAUAGAUGUUAACAUUUGUUCUGUUAAACAAAUGUGUUUUUGUAUGUCUAGGGGGCAAACAUAUGUUUGAUUGUGUUACUUGAAACAUUAACGGCGACAUAAACAUGUUGUCAUAUGAAACUGAUAUGAAUACUCUUUAGUUGGUGGAGGCUAAACAAUUUAAUGUCGGUUAGUAUGUCUAUACUCAUGAAAGUCGGAUGGUUCUUGCUUCUGGAAUGCAGUGCACAAUAUUCUCUGGUUUCAGGUAACAUCUAACUUGAUCUAUCGUAAACUUUGAUCAAUCAAAUUGUGCCGCAUUUAGUUCCUUGUGCAAUGUUAUAAUCUAUUUUAAUUAUUUUUUUGUAUUAGGAAAUCUCAGUGGUUUUAGUCUUGUCUUAUCUAUUCAUAUUAAAAAUUUAGUACAAUUAGUGUUAUAUCCUAGAAUCAUCUAGAUUGCUUUUUUUUGUCUUUGAAAUUCUCGUUUAUUAAUUCGCUGAAAUGAUUUAUGCCAGAAGUUCUUGGGACUUUAGUCUAUUCAUCAUGCCUUUAAAUAUGAUUUAUACAUAUUUAAUGUUUUCAAACUGUCUAAAUCUUGAAUCCCUAGUUAGAUACUUAGUCUUAAUGUUUUAGAAAAAUUCAACAUGAUGCAGUUUGGCUCUGGAGAAAUAUCAUCAUAGUUGAGAAAGAUAAGAAUUGAGGAUCACUGCAAGAAGUGGAAUAUGCAGAUAAGAAAGUUGUUAGAACAUAAAUCUACAAUAAUUUAGGACAAUUACAGAAUUUUUUUCAGUGUGAUAUGAUGUCACAUAUUAUUGCUGAAGCUUAUUCAGUUAUCUCAGGCUGCCUUUGAGAUUGUCCAUCAAGAGUUGUCCAUCAAGCUAAGAUUUGAGGAGGCAUUUAACAAAUAGUUGUGAACUUGUUAUUAAAUUUUAGAAACAAGAAGUUACUGGGAGAAAAAUGGUCUCUUACAUUUCAACUACCAUGACUGACAAAGAAAGAUGCCAGUUUCUUCCAUAGGAUGAUAUAAACUUUACCCUUUUUUCAUUGUAGAAAUUAAAUCUUUGAUACUAGAUUCUUUGGGCAACGAUGAAUUUUUUCAGUCCAUUUACAAGCUAGUGUACUCAAUGGCAUUCUUCUAUAAUUCUGUUUAGUAUUACAUCUAUUCUUGGUCUUCAUAAGAUGGGGCAUGCGGAAUUAUGCUAAUGUAUGUACUUGUUACUUAGAGAAAUCUUUCACUCCAAGAAAAUUAAUAAUUUUCCUUCAAUUUCUGAUGCUCGAGUUCUUCUCAGUUCAAUUUCUAGAAUUCUGAUGGAAUCAUAGUUUAGUACCGCAUCAGAAGUGAAAAGUAGGAUGGUGUGCAGGGACUGAUGUGUGCAAUAUGAUUAAUUCAAGUUUAGGCAGUUUGACAAUGUGGCUUAGACCAUCAAGGUGAUUGAUUGUUCUCUUGGUUGGAUCAAAACAUUCAUCAUCAUUGAUUAUGAAUUUAGACCAUGUGCUUUAGGCCCAUCCAAUGCUUAGAACCCCUAUGCUCCACAGCCUCUAUACCAUCACUGCAUUACAUUUAUUUCCUCUCAACUAGUAGCCACCCUCCAUUCCACCAUGACACUUCCUUGAUCGUUGCUCACAACCAGAGCAACCAGCUCCUAUGUCUGUUCAACCCUUCCUCCAUUUCCAGUUCACCUUUCAUUCCAAGAAAAGAUUGUGGAUAAUUUGAUAAAGGAUGAUGUGGUAGUUCAACUUUUAGAAAGAAACAUUUGUUUUUAAAAGAAAAAAAAUAUUUAACUGGUCGAGUCCCCUCUUACUUUAAUAAAUUAUUUAUCAUCCAAUACAUUGAAGUUGGUCCAAGAACCAUCACAAACAAAAUUGAUAAGAGAGGUGGCAUCCAUUCCACAGGAUCCGUUAUAACUUUCAAGGAGAAGUGAAAGAUGAGGGAAUCAAUUGCACCAGAUCUUAUCCAAUAAAAAGUUGCAAAUUUAUAAGAGCUAUAGAAAUUUCAUCAUGACCUUCAUAGUGAUAAAUAUCCUAAUAAAUUUAAAUUCCGAUGCUGAGAACAACAAUUAUAGGCCGCUUGCACCUUGAUAUACAAAUCACAUCUUUCUUAUUGAAUUAGCAAUUUUGGUAGCUAGACUAUUUUAGCAUUUUGCUUUUUUAUUUUAAAAAAAAAAACUCCCUAAAAACUCCAUUAUUUCUAAAAAGUAUUUUGGUUGUGAUCUUGUUGAUUAUUCAAUUAAUAUGAGCAUCAUUACUUACCAAAAAUCUCAGUUCAAUAAUGACUAGAGGAAAUAAAACCACAAUUGUAAAAGAUGUAGAUGCUAGUUUGAAGAUUUCAAAUCAAAAUAGAGGACUAGUAUUGAUUUAUCAGGGCUACAUCAAAUAAUCUAGGAGUUUAAAUAAAUAUUGUUAUAAACUAUUACUGAAUCAACACAAAGGGUAGAGUCCUUGACAAACAUAUCACUCAAUUAAUACUACCCAAAUCCUAUAUGCAUCCUAGCCCUCAAUUACAGAGGGCUCCCUCAUGUUUGACUACCUCAUGUUUAGGGAAUAUUUAAGUCAAAUUUCUUGAAAAUCAUAAUAUUCUUACUAGUCAUCAAAGUAAACCUAUAGCUGAGUUAAAUGAACCAUUAGAGAACGAUUAAAACAAAGAAGUUAUGAGACAGUGUUUUUGCAUUGUAUUCUAUCAAUAUCCAGGGAAGGUAACACUUGGAUGAGCAUCACCUUUCAUGCAUAUUUUUGAUGUGAGGAUGCUACUAAUGCCAUUUCACCUAUUUGAUCACUAGGAUAGAACUUGUAUCUGAUCACAUCCUUACCUAUAAGAAAUUUUGUUUACGGACCAAAUUCUUUAUCAAUUGUAAAGAGGUGCUUUGCAACAGUUAGUUACCUUACUGUCUUAGAUGUCAGGUUUAUGUUCUUUUUCCACUAUUGCAUUUAGAUUAAUUUCUCUGUGAUAGUCUCUUCACUCUUUUGAUCAAGAUUGAAUGUUUGGCUUUCCUUAUGCAGUGUUUUCAGUGUCUCACUUACUUUCAAUUUGUUUCCCAUCAGGACUCUGUUCGCUUGCCUAAAUUUGAGAUGACAAUGGUCAAGUCUGAGGCAAACCACAACCCUGUUCUAGCAGCAGAUGUUCAUAUAGUUACUAUGUAAAGCUUGGUCCAAUUCUUUUUUUUUCUUUGUCAUCGCAGCAAGUAUGUAACUUAAAUCCAGCAUUUUGUUAUGUUAAACAUGGGCUAUUUUAACAGCUAUGGUAGAAUAUACUUCCUGCAAUGUGAUAGGGUGGCUAUGCAACUCAACUUAUAUAGAUUUUAUAGUGAUGCUGUUGUGCAACAAAUAUGGUUUGAGAAGUUCCAAGUAAUGCCCCUUAUUGUUUUGGUUAUUAAAAAAAAGAUUUUAUGUAUGUUUGCAUUCUAUAUUUCUUCUUUUCCAAUUGGAUUAAAACGUAGAAUCAUUCUGUUCUGUAGUCCGUGAAACUUCAGGAAGACAAAAGGAAGGUCACUUUCAAAUAGAAAAAUAUAUAUUUUAAAGAUGUUAUCGUAAAUGAAAUUACCUUAAGUUGCUACAUGAUCUCUACCUCAGAAAAUCCUUAAUUUUGCAACUUAAGCACUUGCAUUUUAUGUCUCAGAUUUGUGCUAGAAACUUAAACUUGUUUAUAUUUUGUUCAUCAUAUGAUAAUGUAAACUCUUUUCUGGUAUUAAACUUGGCUUUUAGAAUUACUAUUUAUAUCCUGAAUAGCAUCGAUGUUCUUAUAACUAUCUAAAUUACAUUUUUACUAAUAUGAUAAUAUAUUUAACUUGGUAUAAGGAUCACAUACUUAGCAACACGAGACACAGUGAGAUUACGUUUAGCUUUAAACGUCUAUAUGUACCUAAUAUUUGUCUAUUUUAU